AACGAACGCUGGCGGCAUGCCUAACACAUGCAAGUCGAACGAGACCUUCGGGUCUAGUGGCGCACGGGUGCGUAACGCGUGGGAACCUGCCCUUAGGUUCGGAAUAACUCCCCGAAAGGGGUGCUAAUACCGGAUAAUGUCUUCGGACCAAAGAUUUAUCGCCUUUGGAUGGGCCCGCGUUGGAUUAGCUAGUUGGUAGGGUAAAAGCCUAUCAAGGCGACGAUCCAUAGCUGGUCUGAGAGGAUGAUCAGCCACACUGGGACUGAGACACGGCCCAGACUCCUACGGGAGGCAGCAGUGGGGAAUAUUGGACUAUGGGCGAAAGCCUGAUCCAGCAAUGCCGCGUGAGUGAUGAAGGCCUUAGGGUUGUAAAGCUCUUUUACCCGGGAUGAUAAUGACAGUACCGGGAGAAUAAGCUCCGGCUAACUCCGUG
rnacentral:rRNA from 1 species